rnacentral:rRNA from 1 species
AACGAACGCUGGCGGCAUGCCUAACACAUGCAAGUCGAACGAGAUCUUCGGGUCUAGUGGCGCACGGGUGCGUAACGCGUGGGAAUCUGCCCUUUGGUUCGGAAUAACAGUUGGAAACGACGGCUAAUACCGGAUGAUGACGAAAGUCCAAAGAUUUAUCGCCAGAGGAUGAGCCCGCGUAGGAUUAGCUAGUUGGUGUGGUAAAGGCGCACCAAGGCGACGAUCCUUAGCUGGUCUGAGAGGAUGAUCAGCCACACUGGGACUGAGACACGGACCAGACUCCUACGGGAGGCAGCAGUGGGGAAUAUUGGACAAUGGGCGAAAGCCUGAUCCAGCAAUGCCGCGUGAGUGAUGAAGGCCUUAGGGUUGUAAAGCUCUUUUACCCGGGAUGAUAAUGACAGUACCGGGAGAAUAAGCUCCGGCUAACUCCGUGCCAACCGCCGCAGUAA